rnacentral:rRNA from 1 species
AUUGAACGCUGGCGGCAGGCCUAACACAUGCAAGUCGAACGAGUGGCGGACGGGUGAGUAAUGUCUGGGAAACUGCCCGAUGGAGGGGGAUAACUACUGGAAACGGUAGCUAAUACCGCAUACCAUCGGAUGUGCCCAGAUGGGAUUAGCUAGUAGGUGGGGUAAAGGCUCACCUAGGCGACGAUCCCUAGCUGGUCUGAGAGGAUGACCAGCCACACUGGAACGGAGACACGGUCCAGACUCCUACGGGAGGCAGCAGUGGGGAAUAUUGCACAAUGGGCGCAAGCCUGAUGCAGCCAUGCCGCGUGUAGGAAGAAGGCCUUCGGGUUGUAAAGUACUUUCAGCGAGGAGGCGUUACCCGCAGAAGAAGCAACGGCUAACUCCGUGCCAGCCGCCGCGGUAAUUC